rnacentral:rRNA from 1 species
AUUGAACGCUGGCGGCAUGCUUUACACAUGCAAGUCGAACGGUAGAGGGGGCAACCCCUUGAGAGUGGCGAACGGGUGAGUAAUGCAUCGGAACGUGCCCAGUCGUGGGGGAUAACGCAGCGAAAGCUGUGCUAAUACCGCAUACGAUCUCUGGAUGAAAGCGGGGGACCGAAAGGCCUCGCGCGAUUGGAGCGGCCGAUGUCAGAUUAGGUAGUUGGUGGGGUAAAGGCUCACCAAGCCAACGAUCUGUAGCUGGUCUAAGAGGACGACCAGCCACACUGGGACUGAGACACGGCCCAGACUCCUACGGGAGGCAGCAGUGGGGAAUUUUGGACAAUGGGCGCAAGCCUGAUCCAGCAAUGCCGCGUGCAGGAAGAAGGCCUUCGGGUUGUAAACUGCUUUUGUACGGAACGAAAAGGUCUGGGUUAAUACCCUGGCACAUGACGGUACCGUAAGAAUAAGCACCGGCUAACUACGUGCCAGCAGCCGCGGUAA